AGAAAUAUUUAUUUUGGUUUCCUUCAUUGUUUUUGGAAAUUCUGUUUUGGUUUUAUAAAACAUAGAAAUAGCCAACACUUAAAGCAAACAUUCCAAACCCCAGGUGACGAGUGACUGACGCUUGUGCGGUGAGGAACACACACUCGGGUUAGCUCGGAGAGUGUCACAGGGCGGGCCGGGGAGUGCCACGCCUGUGCCC